rnacentral:rRNA from 1 species
CAGGCCUAACACAUGCAAGUCGAACGGUAGCACAGAGGAGCUUGCUCCUUGGGUGACGAGUGGCGGACGGGUGAGUAAUGUCUGGGAAACUGCCCGAUGGAGGGGAUAACUACUGGAAACGGUAGCUAAUACCGCAUAACGUCGCAAGACCAAAGAGGGGGACCUUCGGGCCUCUUGCCAUCGGAUGUGCCCAGAUGGGAUUAGCUAGUAGGUGGGGUAACGGCUCACCUAGGCGACGAUCCCUAGCUGGUCUGAGAGGAUGACCAGCCACACUGGAACUGAGACACGGUCCAGACUCCUACGGGAGGCAGCAGUGGGGAAUAUUGCACAAUGGGCGCAAGCCUGAUGCAGCCAUGCCGCGUGUAUGAAGAAGGCCUUCGGGUUGUAAAGUACUUUCAGCGAGGAGGAAGGCGUUGUGGUUAAUAACCGCAACGAUUGACGUUACUCGCAGAAGAAGCACCGGCUAACUCCGUGCCAGCCGCCGCGGUAAAAGGG